ACAUCAGGUUGCAAUGCGCAGCUUGAUGUUUUCUCCUCUAUUUCUCCUUUGUAGACUUGGCGCAUACCUUAACCGGAUAUGCGCAUUUUU
rnacentral:ncRNA from 1 species